AACGAUGCUAACUCCCACGAUUACAGAUUACUUAUUCAAAUAAAUACCUAGUGGCUCUUAGAUAUUUUCUUGCGUCCUCAAACCUCCGUCACUCGUUUCUCUCUCUCUCUCUCUCUCUGCGUACGGUUACAGACUCUAUUUCGUAGCUUCAAUCCUCCGAAGCAGAUCUCACAUUCAUCCUUCAAUGCUUCGUUUUCUUCUCUUUUCGGAUCCAUUCAUGGAUUCUGAUUCUCAGUUUACGCGAUUCUCUCGUCGAAUUUCGUUUCCGAACUGCAUUCACGCUCCAACCUUGCUCGCUUCGCUGUUCUCGCAUCUUCGUGGAUUCCGCUCUCAUGAAACGAGUUGUCUCGGUUUCUGUUCCGUUGAAGAACGGUGAGGAGGUUUCUUCUUCGGAAUCCGUUUGGUUUCCGAGAAUACGCGCGAAAAAGAAAGGGUAGAGACGUUUUUUAAUCUUUGUGGAGCAAUGAUCUUUAGAUGGAGACGUGUUUGAAUCUCAGCAUAAAGAUACAUGAUGUAGGCGGAUGAAGCUUGCAAGUAGAGGCCCAUCUUUUUGCUAAAAGAGGCAAUUGGGUGCCCUUUAUGGGUGAGGACAACUCCAAUAGCUACACCGAAGGCAUUGAUUUCAGCUGUAAAUGUAGUAGCAAAGUCCAAAAGUUGGAGAAUAGGGGUUGUAGCAAUGUUUGUUUCAAUUUUGUAAAGGCUAAAGUAGCCUCGUGAGUCUAAAGGAAUUUUCGUAAUGUAAGCAAAUCAAUGGAGGGGAGGUGAGGUGGCGUAUUGCCUAGUGAACCCGCGAUAAAAUCCAGUGAGCCCCAAAAAGUUGUGGAGUGCCAAGAGAGAUUGAGGUUGUGGCCAUUCAUGGUUUGCCUUUAAUUUAUCUUGAUUAGGAGUGACCAUGUGAUCAAAGAUAACAUGGCCUAAAUAGGACUUUAAAGUCACAUAAAAAACACACUUAGAGAAUUUGGCAAAAAAUUGAUUAGUGACUAGAAAUUUGAAAAUCAAUGUUAAGUGUUGUAAAUGAUCAGCAUUAGUAAGAUCUAACUUAGAGAUUAUUGUAGCAUUGCCCAAUCAUCUAAUAGUUCCUCUAUAGUAGGAAUCAAAGAAUGAUCCUUAACCGUCACAGAGUUAAGAGCUCUAUAAUCCACACAUAGGCGCUAAGAACCAAUAAUACAUGACAUGAAGAAGGGUCAUGACUUGGAAUGAUUAGGCCUUGGUUGAGGAGGUCUUGCAUGAGGUUGGUCAUUGCUUUUUUUUGGGAAUGGGGAUAGUGGUAGGGUUUAACACCGAUAAGGGAGGUAUUAGGGAGGAGGGUAAUAUGGUGAUUGUGGAAUUGGUUUGGAGGAAGGUCUGUGGGCGUAUGGAAAAUUGGUGAAUAUAUGAAAAGUAAAGUUUGGAUUUUGGGAUUUAAGGAUGAUGGAAUGGUUAAUGAAGUGGAGGGUGGGUUGGGUUUUUGAUUGAUUGGAAAAUUAAAAGGUGGCAAGAGGCAAUCACCUUAUGGUGCAACAUUUGGCUAAAUUGAUGGAAUGUGGAUAAUGUGGGUGGGUUAUGUGGAUCAGCUUGAAUAGUAAUGGGGACUCAUUAUGAGUAAAGGAUAGAUGAAGGGUGGAGAAAUUAGUGAUGAGGGGUCCCAAAGUACAUAACCAAUCCAUGCCAAGCAUGACAUCAACACCUUCAAUAGGUAUUAGGUAAAAAGGGUUGUAUAAUAGAUGACCUUGAGUGAUAAUUGGAACCUAUGCACAAAGGCUUCUACACGCAAUAUGUUGGCCAUUUCCCACCAUCACAAAUAACUUUGGUGUUGAGAUUAUGGAUAGUUGAAGGUGGUCUGCCAAAUAGGGUUGAAGUAUGUUAUGAGAGCUAUCAGUAUCUAUGGGCACACAAAUAGCAAUGUUACGAAAUUUGCCUUGAAUUGUAGAGUAUAUGGAGAAGGAUGAUCGAUCAAGGUUUGGAUGGAUGGAUGAAAAAGGUUAGUGUCGGGGUUUGAUGAAGGGGAAAAAUUAGGUUUAGUUGAAGAAACAAUGGCCUCGUCCAAGUUGUCCCCAACUUAAAAUAGGAAAUGAGAGGUGGUGCAUUUGUGACCUAGCACGAACUUAUCAUAAUUAUGACAGAGGCCUUAAGCCCUCCACUCCUGCAUUUGAGCUUAUGUGAGUUGUUUAAUGGGCUAAAGGGAGGUAUGUGAGGAGGUGUAAGAUAAGUAACUCAUGUCGAAGUUCUGAUUUUAAGCCAGAGACAACUAUUUAACAAGUUUUCAUUAGAAAGACUAUAAACCCUAUUAGAAAGUUUCUCAAAUUGCGCUUGAUAUUUAGAAACAAACCCAUAUUGACACAAUUUGUAGAGCUCUUCUUGAUGGUUCUCAUAGGAAGAUGGGCCAAAACAAAGCUCCAAAGCACGAGUAAAGGAGUGCCACUCAAUGAGUUGUUGAUUGUGGUACAUCCACGUAUACCAAUUGAGGGUUUUCCCUGCCUUAUAGAAAGCAACAAUAUGGAGACGAGCUUCCAAGGGAAUCUGAUAUAGGAGGAAAAACCGCUCGGCCUGAAAAAGCCAAUCAAGUGGGUUUGGACCUUAAAAGGUUGUGAGUUGGAGUCUUGGUGGUUAGAUAAAAGUGAUAGUGGGUUGAAUUGGUGGUGUAAAAGGGGGUUGAUGAGAGAUGUAGGGAGGGGUAUACCAGAUGUGAAAAGGUUUUGGGGGCACGGUUGGGUGGUAGUAUUGUGUGUGAAAGAGGUUGGCAUGAAGGAAAAAGGAAGGCCAAAGGCAUAGACAGGGUAAGGGAUAUUUUGAGAGGUGGUGGUGGGGGGGGGAACGGAGAUUGGCAGAGAUAUUGCCUGAAAGUGGGGUUGGAAAUGCAGGAAUAAUAGGGGAAGAGGUCAUAAUUGUGGAAUGAGAGAUGACAGAGUUAGUUACAGAAGAAGGUGAGCUUAAUGGCAAGCCAUUCAAGGGCUUAGCAGCCAAGGUGGUGAGUUUUUUCAUGACUACAUCCAAGGAUUGUUGCAUAGUGGCUUGGUGAGUGUCUUGCGCUUGUUGAGCUUCAAAAUAAGUUUGCAUUAUCCCAAAUUUUUUGAUGAGGUGAUGGAUGGCAUCGUCCACCUCCUUAGAUGGUUUGGGAGGCAUCAAGAUGAAAACACCAUUGUUAGGGAACUAUUAGGAAUUAGGGCUACACUGCCAAAAACUAUAAAAUUGGCUUACCCCAAAUUUUUCGAAGAACAAUCUUGAUCGAAAAACGAUUUCCUUUUACUCCUUCAAAAGUAGCUUCCCGCAUCCUUUGCUGUCUUCUCCACUGAGUUUUACUCAAAUUGUUGAAAGGUUGUCGAAAGCCACGACCAUAACUUCCCGUUGGGAAUUUUCCUAGAUUUCCUUGCACUGGGUUCCGUGGAUAAGCCAUCACUUGUUUCCCUCGACCUAUUCCUCCGACCAUAGGUCUUGGCGGUGCAUUCCAUUUGCCAAUAGGCACAUUAGCAUUUGGAACAAAAGUGUUAACAAACCUCGAUGAAUUAUACAUCUCCAUCUUUCCUACUGGAGCGUUAUAUUGAGGCAUGUGAACCUGCCUCAUAGUUAACCCAGCAUUCAACCCGACGUUGGGCUUAGGCUUUUGUCGAAGGUUUUCAGCCUUAUAAUUCAUCAUCAUAUCUGACUCCUCAAAAGCCUUAGCAGCAGCCCUAUCAAAUACAGCACUACAUCGAGGGCAUAACAUCACUUCUCUAUCAGCUUCUUUCUUUUUCGACAAGAAAUCAACUAAGCUAUCCCCCUCUUUAGGAUAAAUGGGCUCCUGCUCCUUAGCAAAAUCUUCCAUUAGUUCCUCGAGCUUCUCAUCAGAAAUGGGCUCAAUAUUGUCAUCCUCUUCGACAGUGACAUCCACCAUAUUGAUCCCUCCUAUCGAGACUGGCUCGACAUAUCCAGUAUGAGCAGCAAAUGGGUCUGUGUCCACUUUCAUAUCUUUCUCCUCAAAAGCAAGGCGACCAUCAGUAAUCGCCUUUUCGAUAAAAUCCCUGAAACGCACACAAUUGUUAGUCCAAUGACCAUACAUAUUAUGAUAUUUACAAAAUUUCUUUCCUUUUCUUUGCUCGAAUGGGGGAAUUUUAUGAUUUUCUGGGAGUACGAUUUGUUUAUCUCUUAAUAAAAUAUCAAAUAUUUUUUCCGCUUUCGUUACAUCAAAACUAUACUUCUUACUCGAAUUACCUUCUACAUUAUCUCCUGGUUUUAACAUUUGACACUGAUACGUAGGGCCAGGGCGUAGUUCUGCUAAGUUGAUCUCAAACUCCUCACUCGAGACUUCACAAUUAGAAUCUUCCCCAAGAUCUGAAUUUUCUAAAUACGCUACCUUCUCCUUUCGAACAAAUUUGUCAAAUUUUCUCAACCUUUCUUUUUCUAGUUUAAUUUGUUCGAUCCUUCUCACUUUUUCAGCCAGUUGGGCCAUAUCCCUCAACUGUUCGUUUACUAACUUCUUGCGUAUCGAGAAAUCUAACCCUGUCGCCGCAAUCCUAACUAAUUCAUGUUCAGGUAUAUUGGUGUAACAUCGAGAUUUUAAUUGCCUGAAUCUAUUCAAAUAGUCAUCCAAAGUUUCAUUAUCUUGUCUUUUGAUAUUCAUCAGAUCGACUAUACUAACUUUUGUUUCCUCUCUAAAGAAGUGUUCAUGGAAACUACCCUCUAACUGUACCCAUGUGUGUAUCGAAUUAGGAGGUAAGGUAGUAAACCAUGUAAAAGCAUGUUUAGUCAAUGAACUAGGGAAAUAUUUCAUUUUUAAAUAUUCGUUAUUUGCUAAAUCCCCACAUUCGACUCCAUACCUAGCUAUGUGUUCAACUGUUGACUCAGUCAAUUCUCCUGCAAAUUUCGAGAACUUGGGUACUUUUACUCCUCGGGGUAGUUCUGCUUGGGUAAUAUAAUCAGGAAAAGCUGACACGAAAUAUGGGCGUUCGUUUCGACCUACAUCGAAUCCAUGCCUAUUUAAUAUUCUUUCCACCAUCUGGUCUAAAUGAUCAUUGGGAUUCCCAUUAGGUCGAAUUACAUUCUGAAAAUUUCCAUGCCCCCCAAGGUUUUCUCUGUCAUUCAAGUUCGCACUCAUGGCUCUCGAAGGUGUUCCCUCACCUAGUUUAUCCCCUAUUUUGUUUAUCAAUUCAUACAGGGGAGUCAUAAUGUUAUGCAUUUGAGUUGACAACAAAUUGACCAUGUCAUGAUUACUAUGGUCCAUUUGCUGUCUAAGAGCCAUCAUAGCCUGGUUACUAAUUCCAGUGGGUACGUAACUGCCUUGUCGAAUUAACGAACCUUCCUGACUCGUUCCUAUAUGUUGAUAGGGGUCUUGCAUAACAAACCCCAUGCCGUUUGGUCCAGGAUUAUAUCCCUGUGGGGAUAUAUGCAUUUGGGGAUUAGGCCCUAUCAAGGGUACUGGCAUAUCAGCAUGUAUAGGUUGGGUACUUCGCCAAUUAGGUGGCAUACCCCAAGGAUACUCCCUCGUGACAUCUACCAGUUCCUGAGUUACAUUAUUUGGCCUUGCUGUGUUUUCGAGUAACACAGGAGGAGACCUUGCCCCCCCGGUCACAUUAGUAGCACUAUCAGGAUUGGGGUUAGGCUGUUCUACAUUUGCAUUAUUAUGGCUUGCAUUCGGAUUAUUAGACGUAGACAUAGUUCUCCCACUCCUUAAUCUCAUGCAAUUCACACACCUAAACUAGUCCAAUUAUGUUCUGAAUUAAACGAGUCCCACCGGGCGUGCCAAUUACCACUAGGUUUUGGGUCAAACAGACAAAUAGCCUAUUUAGGGAAAAUAACAACAAAGAAAUAAAAGAGAAUUGUUUUAACCCUUAACAUAAUCUUUCACCCAAUAUGGGUUUGAUGUCAAUCACUUGGGCCUAUCAAGUAGAUUUUAUAUUUGUAUAAAAAAAAUUAUGAAAAACAAAUUUAGAACAUACUUAAAUAGUAUUUACCCACAAAGCGCUAAAUCUUCCCAAGUCCUUUAGUCAACAAUAUGGGUUUGAGGUCAACCGCUUGUGACUAAAGGUCUAACUUACCACACUGCAAAUGUAAAGUCCAAUCUAGUGA